rnacentral:rRNA from 1 species
UACUUUAAGACUAAGUAAAAAUUUUUAGGUUGUAGUUAAAUGAGUGAUUUAGAAACUAUAUGGGCAAUAAAGGGUAAAAUCAGAAUAUUGUUUUGUAUAAGAAAAAAUUUUAGUUGAAGCUAGGAAAUUUUAGUCAUAAACUAGGAUUAGAUACCCUAUUAUUCUAAAAUGAAUUAUUUAAACUUAAUUAGUAAGAGAUAAAUACUUAAAAUUUAAAAAAUUUGGCGGCAAUUUAAUCUUUUCAGAGGAACCUGUUUUAUAAUCGAUAAACCACGAAAAAUCUUACUUGCUUUUGUAAAACAGUUUGUAUACCAUCAUUAUCAGAUAAUUCUUAGAAGAAAAAUUAUUAAAUUUGGUUUAUCAGAAAAAUUAGAUCAUGGUGCAGUUAAUGAGCAAGUUAAAAUGGGUUACAAUAAAUUACUUUAUAACGGAUUAAGCAAAAUAAUUUUGCUAUGAAGGAGGAUUUGAUUGUAUUUUCAGUUUAAUAAGCUAAAAAGAUAUAAGUUCUAAAUUGUGUACAUAUCGCCCGUCGCUUUCAUUUAUAAGUGAAAUAAGUCGUAACAUA